rnacentral:rRNA from 1 species
UACGGGGGGGGCAAGCGUUGUUCGGAAUUACUGGGCGUAAAGGGCGCGUAGGCGGCCCGCUAAGUCGAACGUGAAAUCCCCGAGCUCAACUCGGGAACUGCGUCCGAUACUGGCGGGCUUGAAUCCGGGAGAGGGAUGCGGAAUUCCAGGUGUAGCGGUGAAAUGCGUAGAUAUCUGGAGGAACACCGGUGGCGAAGGCGGCAUCCUGGACCGGCAUUGACGCUGAGGAGCGAAAGCCAGGGGAGCG